AGUGAACGCUGGCGGUAGGCCUAACACAUGCAAGUCGAACGGCAGCACAGUAAGAGCUUGCUCUUACGGGUGGCGAGUGGCGGACGGGUGAGGAAUACAUCGGAAUCUACUUUUUCGUGGGGGAUAACGUAGGGAAACUUACGCUAAUACCGCAUACAACCUACGGGUGAAAGCAGGGGAUCUUCGGACCUUGCGCGAUUGAAUGAGCCGAUGUCGGAUUAGCUAGUUGGCGGGGUAAAGGCCCACCAAGGCGACGAUCCGUAGCUGGUCUGAGAGGAUGAUCAGCCACACUGGAACUGAGACACGGUCCAGACUCCUACGGGAGGCAGCAGUGGGGAAUAUUGGACAGUGGGCGCAAGCCUGAUCCAGCCAUACCGCGUGGGUGAAGAAGGCCUUCGGGUUGUAAAGCCCUUUUGUUGGGAAAGAAAAGCAGCAGGUUAAUACCCCGCUGUUCUGACGGUACCCAAAGAAUAAGCACCGGCUAACUUCGU
rnacentral:rRNA from 1 species